GGCUACUGAUAUUCAGCAGGGAAUAAAGGGUAAAGACCUCGUUGGAGACGAUGACGAGAACAAGGUUGAAAAGACGAGGGCAAUCCCAUCGUUAGCUGAGUCUCCAUUCGGAACUACGUGAACAUAUUUUUUUUUAGUACAUUCACAACUUGAUCGAAUCGGUUCACGAUAGCGUCGGUCAAAUUCUUAGUCACCCUUUCAGUAUUAAUGUAAGGGUCAUUUAUCGCCGCCUUUUGAUUUCUAAUUGUUUCUAUAUCAAAGUAAGUCACAGCUCCAUCUUCCCCUUGCAUCAAUCCAUU
rnacentral:misc_RNA from 1 species